GCAAGUCGAACGAGAACGGGUAUUAGCUUGCUAAUACUGUCAGCUAAGUGGCGCGCGGGUGAGUAAUAUAUAGUUAACCUGCCCUAGAGAAGGGGAUAACGUUUGGAAACGGACGCUAAUACCUCAUAUGCCUUUAAGUCAAAAGACUGCAAGGGAAACAUUUAUGGCUCUAGGAUGGGACUGUACGGUAUCAGAUAGUUGGUGAGGUAAUGGCUCACCAAGUCAAUGACGCCUAACUGGUUUGAGAGGAUGAUC
rnacentral:rRNA from 1 species